rnacentral:rRNA from 1 species
AACGAACGCUGGCGGCCGGCCUAACACAUGCAAGUCGAGCGAAGCCUUCGGGCUUAGCGGCGGACGGGUGAGUAACUCGUGGGAACGUGCCCUUUGGUACGGAAUAGCCCCGGGAAACUUGUAGUAAUACCGUAUGUUGUCGAGAGACGAAAAGUUUAUCGCCAAAGGAUCGGCCCGCGUUGGAUUAGGUAGUUGGUGGGGUAAGGGCCUACCAAGCCGACGAUCCAUAGCUGGUUUGAGAGGAUGAUCAGCCACACUGGGACUGGGACACGGCCCAGACUCCUACGGGAGGCAGCAGUGGGGAAUCUUAGACAAUGGGGGAAACCCUGAUCUAGCCAUGCCGCGUGAUCGAUGAAGGCCUUAGGGUUGUAAAGAUCUUUCAGUGGGGAAGAUAAUGACUGUACCCACAGAAGAAGCCCCGGCUAACUCCGUGCCAGCCGCCGCCGUAACAC